AUCUGGUGGUGAAAAAUUUGAAGAGCAGCUUGAAUCUGCAAAAUAAAACGGACUGCUCAAUUAUCGCUUCUCACUCAAGAGUGGAGUUCUCUCUGAUAUUGGGCCACCGUUCCGUUGCUUUGAACAUGUAAUUGGUUUUGUUUUCUCGAUUGGGGGGCUGAAAAAAAUGUAAUGCGUAUCUGCGUAAUACAUUUUGAUCAAUAAACUUUCCCCAUUUAAACAUGCACUAUGGUGUGGCCUUUCUUUGCUCAUAACUCCUUGAUGUUGGUAAAUACAAUAAGUGAGCAAUAUAUAUAAUAUACAUAUGAGAAUGCACAGCACAUUAUGGAGUAUGCCCCUGCUGUGAAGUCCUGCCUCCAUCUACUUGUCGUUUAAUCACUGGACAGCUGGACAGGUUCAUACAAAAUAUUAGAUUAGGCCAAUUCCUAUACAUAUUUUUGACCUAGGGGUGGGAUUGAUUGUGAACUGGAAAGGGAAAAUGCUUAGGGGGCUGAGUACGGCUGCAUCGUCACUGAUUUGUAGAAUCAUUUUGAUUCGAUACAGGAUCCGAUUCAAUUUGAUUGGAAUCUGGAAAGUUUUGCCUCAGUCAGAAAUAUUACAAUUCUGGUCAUGUAUCAGUAUAUAUCCAUAAUUUCGUAUCUAUUAAAAGAAAGCUGACACAUGUGAGACUUAAUUAGAGAUGUAAACAGAGAGUUAUGAAACCUGCAGCUGCAGAAGCCAGCGAAAAAAAAAGAGGCAAACACAGCGCGGACCCGACGACACACCAAAAUCUGAUUCUGACGCGUCGGGUCCGCGCUCUGUGUUUACGUUUGUAUGCAGAAUCCGUAAACCUGCUCCCAGUUACUGUUUUAGCUGUAUGGUGUUUGACGACAUGUUGUGAGGUUUAACCUGAGAUGCUGGCGUUUCAGGCAUAAUAACGUUAAUUUACAAAUCGACACAGGAUUGUAAUGAAUCAAUAUCACUUUAUUCAAUUUAGCAUGGAUUGUAAUCAGAAAGGCGAUAAUCAAAACCCACCCCUAAUCAAGAACUUGCAAAGUAAAAACAUGAUCUAUGUAAGGUAGCCCUUUUGUUAUUUACAUUUAAAAAGAGGAUUAGUGUUACUGUGCGCUGGCUGAGUCUGUUUCUUUUCUUAGAAAUAGUUUCUCCUGCCCUGGAGAAAAUCCACUUGCAUGGAACAGAAGAGGCUGUGGAGUGCAGGAACUACACUGCAAGCUGGUAGAUAUGCAGGUAUUCCUGGGUCCUGCAGACUAUCACCUAAAAACAAUAAACAAAAUGAUUUUCUAAACUGUAGCAAUGUAAUGUACGUAUAGUGUCAAAUACAUUUUUGUAGUCUUCAUCAGCUUUAAUUCACAUGGAAGUGUUCCUACAGUCAUAUGCUGUAAUGAUAUUUACAUUAUGAAAACAUGAUUUUGGACAUUUCAAGUUUUUCACUUCGGCAGAUAAAAUGAAUUGAGCAAAAUCAACUCAAAAUAUUCCCACACGCCAGAACGUCCUCUCUUCCUCGCUGGCUCCAUAUCUGUCAGUGGAAUGAUCACCUCGUCGCUCUCUGUCACCAUCAACACACUCCACGAAUCCCGUGGAUGAUUCACUUCCUUAUAUCCGUUUGAAUCAGGUACCGAAGCAGUUACGUGCGUAAUGAAGCUUCGGACGUCACUGGUCACGUGACUUUUGCCAAACGAAGCAAGCCUCGACACAGUGCUUCUGAACCAGUGUGUUGUUUUUUUCGACACACGCUCCGGAGCGUCAGCUUCAAGCGGGCCAUCACUAUCUGUAUGCAUCCAUACAAAACUAGAUCUGAUGUCUUGCAUCGUGCAAGCUGCUGGCUGGUGUGUUACGAGACAAAAGAAUGUCGCCUGAUAUGUUUCAUGAUAGAAACACAUCAGAGCUGCAUACUUAAACGGAGUGAAGUUCGACUCAUGCUACAUCUUGGUAUGUCUGCUCGAUGUGAACAGGCACAAACUUGAAUCACUUACAUCAGCUCUAAAGGUGCAGUCUUUAAAGUAUUGUUUAAAACAAUAAAUGAAUGUCUGUAAAUAAAUUGUGUAAAUGUCUGUAAAUCGAUUGUGUAAUGGUGCCUAAUGCUGUUUGGAGAGCCCCAUUGUGAAUGUUUGCCUAGACCCCAAACAGAUUAUCAAAUCCUCACUGAACUGGGGUGUAUAUAUCAAAAUCUUGUAAUCUUGUGUGUGUAAGAUGUAAACAUGUUGCCCAAUAGGAAUCGCCAUAAGGAAGCUGGAAGAAGGAGGCCUCCAUGAAGCAGCAAAAGGUAAAAAGAAGUCAUCCCAUAUAGAGAAACUUCCAAAACUGGUCUUAAGAUUGUUUUUUAUAUUUAAUACUGCCAUAACAAUUUAUGUUUGUCUUAAAGCAUGUUGGCAUUGAUGCCCUUUUAUAUUGAUUAUCCCAUUUUUCAAUAUCUGCGGAAGCUAUGCAGAACUUCCUUCACUUAAGGCACUUUGUAUUUCUUAGUCAUGUCGUUUUAGUCAUCAGCAAAUGGUUAAUGGUUAUUGUAAAAGCUUUUAUGUUUUGAAUAAAUGUUCUGCUGUGGGCUCUGCUAGAAACUCAUGUUUAAAUGAACAAAUUACACAUUGUUUUUUAUUUUAGUUUAUUAAAGACAUUUUUAUCUCUUAAAAAUGACCACAGAAUAAUGAUUCAUUAUUUAUUAGGGAGGUGGUGCUUUUCCUUUCCCUUGUUCUUGGCCUUUUCCAUGUCCAUGUCCAUGUUCUUGGCCUUUUCCUUUCCCUUGUUCUUGGCCUUUUCCAU